AUUGAACGCUGGCGGCAGGCUUAACACAUGCAAGUCGAGCGGUGUGAUGGUGCUUGCACUAUCACUUAGCGGCGGACGGGUGAGUAAUGCUUAGGAAUCUGCCUAUUAGUGGGGGACAACAUCUCGAAAGGGAUGCUAAUACCGCAUACGUCCUACGGGAGAAAGCAGGGGAUCACUUGUGACCUUGCGCUAAUAGAUGAGCCUAAGUCGGAUUAGCUAGUUGGUGGGGUAAAGGCCUACCAAGGCGACGAUCUGUAGCGGGUCUGAGAGGAUGAUCCGCCACACUGGGACUGAGACACGGCCCAGACUCCUACGGGAGGCAGCAGUGGGGAAUAUUGGACAAUGGGGGGAACCCUGAUCCAGCCAUGCCGCGUGUGUGAAGAAGGUCUUCGGAUUGUAAAGCACUUUAAGUUGGGAGGAAGGGUUGUACGUUAAUACCGUGCAAUUUUGACGUUACCGACAGAAUAAGCACCGGCUAACUCUGUGCCAGCCGCCGCUGUAA
rnacentral:rRNA from 1 species